AAGUCAGGCUGAAACUGGAGUCGUCAAGCCUCAAAUAAUAAUAUAGAACAUAAUGCUAAUAUAAUAUGAAUAAGGUUUCAAAGGCGUUGUGUGGGUCCAUUCUUUCUUCUGGUUCCCAGUACAUUUACAUUUAGCAGACGCUUUUAUCCAAAGCGACUUAAAUCAGUUAAUACACAUAUUGACGGAAGAGUCAACCAUGCAAGGCAGCCAGCUCGUCAGGAGCAGUUAGGGUUAAGUGAUCUUGCUCAGGGACACAUCAACACUCAGCUAGGAGGAGCUGGGGAUCGAACUAGCAACAAGACAACUGGUUACAAGACAACUGCUCUAUCUCCUGAGCUAAGCCGACCCAGUACUCAGAGUGUGCGUUUGCAGUGCCAUUGUCUAGUUUUCUUGGAACUCAGAACAGUAUCUCGUCCUGCUGCCUCCUUUCUGCUCUCCAGGGCCGAGUUCUUGGAAAUGAAGAACGGUGAGUCCAAGACUCACCUCAUGUUGUCAUAUAUCUCCGGAAAACGCCAGUUGCCUGCUACAGCCUGAUCCCGACCACUUCCUCUGUUUGGAAACCGGAAGAGGUUCUGCGUGUUGUUAUCUUUCGUGCAGGCGUAGAUACCAACUCAUACGUCAAUUGUACACUAGUGAAUAUGAGUGGUAGAAAUACUAGAAUUGGUUAGCUAGUGACUAAUCACUCAGGGCCAUGUAGGGAAGCCAACAAGGUCAUUGGUGGGGAAUUACAUAAACAUUUUUGUUGCUUUAAGAUCGGGUUGAGGCGUAUGAUUUGAGUCAUUCAGUCAUUUCCUUCUAUUGUUUCCUCCAGCUUUUUCUUUCUUUGUGUUCCUAGAGUAGAGACCCGCUGUCCUCAGCCCCACUCCAUGCCAGCUCUGUGUUACACAACGUCCUGUGACGACCUCCCGCUCUCACUGGCCGGCUGGCUGUCCUGGUGGGCAGGAGGGACAGCGUUUGAGGGACGGGGUUUACCCAGGGGCAGCCCGGCCUCAAGGUUUCUUCAACCGCUGCCCGGAGUUCUGUUCCGUCAUUCUGUUCUGUCUUCUCAUUUGCGGAUAACGUCAUGAAGGGGGCAGCCGCAUCGUUUGAGUAAUGAGUGACACCUGUGUCCAGGAGGACUUCUCUCUCUGUGUUGUCUCACAUGCACGUCGCAACCAUUACUGAUUACCUGAAUAUUCUCCAAUCUUUACAUGUUGUGUUGUUAGUUUCAUUAUCUUGUUCUUUUUUUAUUCUUGUUUUCUUGAAUACUGAGCAUUAUCGAUGUCCACGGCUUGGGGUUAGGAUGUAACGGUGUUACGUGACGUUUUGGAUAAAAGCCCCCACCAACUGACUUAUUUUUAGAAGGUGUAGUUGUAGUAUUACUAGCGCUGCUAUACAGAUAUAUGGUAUUUAAUCAUGUCUGCUGUUUAAAUGUGUGACAGAGGAAAUGAAAAGCGUCACCCCACAGCUUCCCUAUCUAACAAAGUUGCGUACGCACACAUCAUAAAAGCAGGUAUAAAAGAGGAACUGGUCCGAUAAGCAACAAGCCUUCUUAAUGCGCCAGCUGUGGUCUGUGUAUUGACCCUAACUUCCUCAGUGUAAUAGAGGGAAACUAAAUGAUUCACAGGAUAGGUAAAUAUAUAUAUUAGAAGUUUAAUUCAAAAAUGGUCGUGAAUUGGAAGGAUGUGGGUUAGGUGAUUCUGAAAUAUUCAUGUACACAUCAUUUAAUGAUUGAUCCUUUUCUUCAUGUUGGGCCUAAACAGAGUUGGGUUUGUUGAGAUUUGCUCCUUGCCAGCUGUUGUGGUCAGAGGCUGAAGGAACCUGCCCAUCUGUACACUGAAAUAAAACCAUAUCCAUUAACA